GCCCCCGUAGCUCAUUUGGAUAGAGCAGCGGCCUUCUAAGCCGCUGGUAGCAGGUUCGAAUCCUGCCGGGGGUG
rnacentral:tRNA from 1 species